rnacentral:rRNA from 1 species
AGAAUUUGAUCUUAGUUCAGAUUGAAUGCUGACGGCGUGGAUGAGGCAUGCAAGUCGAACGAAGUUAGGGGGCAACUCUUAGCUUAGUGGCGGAAGGGUUAGUAAUACAUGGAUAAUCUGCCUUUUACCUGGGGAUAACGGCUGGAAACGGCCGCUAAUACCGAAUGAGACCUAGCAAGGCAUCUUGCGAAGAUCAAAGUUGGGGAUUCUGUAAAGAACCUAGCGGUAAAAGAGGAGUCCAUGGGAUAUCAGCUAGUUGGUGUGGUAAUGGCGCACCAAGGCUAAGACGUCUAGGCGGAUUGAGAGAUUGACCGCCAACAUUGGGACUGAGAUACUGCCCAGACUCCUACGGGAGGCUGCAGUCGAGGAUCAUUCGCAAUGGGCGAAAGCCUGACGGUGCGACGCCGUGUGAACGAAGAAGGCCUUCGGGUUGUAAAGUUCUUUCGCUCGGGAACAAGGGGAAUAUAUGAAUAAUAUAUUUUCUUGAUGGUACUGGGUAAAGAAGCACUGGCUAACUCCGUGCCAGCAGCUGCGGUAAUACGGAGGGUGCAAGCAUUAAUCGGAUUUAUUGGGCGUAAAGGGCGCGUAGGCUUCUCUGCAAGUCAGAUGUGAAAUUCCGGGACUUAAUCUCGGAGCGGCAUUUGAGACUACAGGGAUGGAGGGUAAGCGGAGAAAGUGGAAUUCCACGUGUAGCGGUGAAAUGCGUAGAUAUGUGGAGGAACACCGGUGGCGAAGGCGACUUUCUAGUUUAUACCUGACGCUGAGGCGCGAAAGCAAGGGGAGCAAACAGGAUUAGAUACCCUGGUAGUCCUUGCUGUAAACGAUGCAUACUUGAUGGAGCUAGGCUCAACCCUAGCUGUGUCGUAGCGAACGCGGUAAGUAUGCCGCCUGGGGAGUACACUCGCAAGGGUGAAACUCAAAAGAAUUGACGGGGACCCGCACAAGCAGUGGAGCAUGUGGUUUAAUUCGAUCCACGCGAAGAACCUUACCUGGAUUUGACAUGCAGAGGACGUGAUCUGAAAGGAUCAUUCCCGCGAGGUCUCUGCACAGGUGCUGCAUGGCUGUCGUCAGCUCGUGCCGUGAGGUGUUGGGUUAAGUCCCGCAACGAGCGCAACCCUUAUCGUUAGUUGCCAACAUUUCGGAUGGGUACUCUAACGAGACUGCCUGGGUGAACCAGGAGGAAGGUGAGGAUGACGUCAAGUCCGCAUGGCCUUUAUAUCCAGGGCUACACACGUGCUACAAUGGUCGGUACAGAAGGCGGCGAAACUGUGAAGUGGAGCAAAUCCUAGAAAGCCGAUCUCAGUUCGGAUUGUAGUCUGCAACUCGGCUACAUGAAGCUGGAAUUGCUAGUAAUGGCGUGUCAGCAACAACGCCGUGAAUACGUUCCCGGGUCUUGUACACACCGCCCGUCAAAUCAUGGGAGUUGGUUUUACUCGAAGUCGCUGGCUCAACCGCAAGGGGAGAAGCGCCAAAGGUGAGGCCGAUGACUGGGAUUAAGCAGCAACAAGGUA